ACUGCCAGUGGUAAACUGGAGGAAGGUGGGGAUGAUGUCAAGUCAGCACGGCCCUUAUGGGGUGGGCUACACACGUGCUACAAUGGUGACUACAAUAGGUUGCAAUGUCGUAAGGCUGAGCUAAUCCGUAAAAGUCAUCUCAGUUCGGAUUGUCCUCUGCAACUCGAGGGCAUGAAGUCGGAAUCGCUAGUAAUCGUGGAUCAGCAUGCCACGGUGAAUACGUUCUCGGGUCUUGUACACACUGCCCGUCACGCCAUGGGAAUUGGCUUAACU
rnacentral:rRNA from 1 species